ACCGACUGGGCUCCAUCCCCGUUGGCCGAGCGGUAUUGGUGCCAAGGGAAGAAGAAUGGCGCUUCUACUCCAUAAUGACAAGUGUAAACCCUAAGAGUGAUGAACCUUUAUUUGACAUUCCAGGAGUAUGGGCAGAGAAUAAUCCACCUGGGUUUGCUCGUAAUAUUCCACCUAUACAUAUUGAACUAAAGCUUGGGGCCUAUCCUGU